AUAAGAGCUGAACCAGAACCCUAGCGCCAGGAGGAAGAACACUCCCAUCUGACUGAGGCCAGAAGUGGAUGUCAGAUUCCCUGCCACUGGAAUGAAAGAUGACUGUGAGCCCAGGAGAUCAUACUGCUUCCACUGUAGCAGUCAAGAGUCGUGGGAUGCAGUCGUGAGAACAGCCCAGGAACAGCUUACCUUGGCCAUACAGCCCUUCGCUCGGACAUGGUGAACGGGUAUCGGUAAUGCAGGCGUUACCACUACAUGUGAUUUCUUAAUCUUGCAAGUUGUUUGUUUUUAAUUUCCUGUUUACUUUGGUAAUAUUACAUCCUUCUAAGUUCUCUGAUGGAGUUAAAGACUAGAUGGUUAUAGUCUUCCUUUUGAACAAAUUCAGAAAAGACACUCAUAAAAGAGGUGUAAAGUGUAUAAGGUUGAGAGACAUAAAAAGAUAGUUUUGGGUUUGUAAUGCAAGUUAGGCUAGAAGGUGAAUUAGGUAGCAUACUUUGGACUCACCAAAAUAGGAUAGAUAAUGGAAGUGUAUUCUCUUAAUUUGUCAAAUGUUAAUGGACUAGACAUGGUGAAUGUAAUUAUUGCCUUAUAUAUUUAUAUAUAGUUAUUGUAUAUAGUUUCUGUGUUCAUCAAAACCUUCACUUUGUAUUUAGGCAAAAAGGGAGAAAUGUUGUGUGAUAUUUUGUUUGUGUUUAGACAAAUAAGCUUGCCUGGACAUCAGAGGGUAGAGUUUAGCCACUAGUUAACCACAGAAUCUUGGUGUGGGUAGCUCAUGCCUUUAAUCCCAGGCUUGGGAUUGCUCUUUAUUAUGGGCUCUCUUGUGUGUUUGAAGAUACCAGUGAUUGUUAGAGCCUUUUGUACAUGGAUCACUUUUAUAGUAUCUUUAUUCAUAUGAGUUUUUUUUCAUAUAAUUGAAGAAAACUAGAAGAACUCUGAGCUUUACCACACUGUUUUCAUUUAUAACAUUUUCCUUUGUGGUGAGUCACACUACAUUUGCAAAAUGAACCAGAACAAAUAGAAGAAUUUACACUCUUUUUGUAUUUAAAGGACUUUUCUGUGGUGUGAGUUUGUUGAUGUGUUUCCAAUGAGAUUUGAAAAGCAAUUUUUUGUAAACUUAUAUCACAUUCAGAAAGGCUAUUCAAAGUAGGGACUACUACAUGUCUUUUAAUUGUUCUUGGUAAGAGAGAGAUACAUUGCUUCUUUCUGAAAGACCCUAGCCCUUCAGGCUUACACCCCCAAGCCUCAGGAAAAGAGAAACUUCAAGCACCAGGAAAUGAGAAACUAAAAAUCU